CUUGGGUCAUGUAGUGACUCUCAAUAGGUGAUGGGGGGUGGGGAAGACAGCUUCGAAAGCCCACCUGGCAAAAAAUCCACACUGGGGGCGAGAGAUAAACCGGCACAUUCCCCAGACUGACCCAUUAGGCUUCUUUCAUAACUUACUGGCAAUGAGCUGAGGAAGCUGUGAGUCUGGGAGUUAUUGAUUUUCUCUCAUCAUCAAAAUUCCUGCUUUUGGUGAGGGAACCAAUGCCAAGUAAGCACAGAACCUGUCUUCUCUCUGGACCAGAGCAGCUCAUGCCCCUUCAGAAAAACAGGCCCAGUGCAGUGGCAGAGUGAGAGCUCAGCGGCAGUGGGCAGAGAACUUCAGUUUUUAGAACAACCCAUGAAGUGGCUGGGGCAAGUAGUACUAUCCACAUUUGACAGAUGAGGAAACACAGACUGAGUGAGAUUGUGGCUUGCUGGUUACACAGCUAACAAGGGACGCCUCCUUCCAAGAACCCAUGUCUUCAGACAGCAAGUCUAGCACUCCUUGAACCACAUCGCCACCUCCACGUGUUGCCAUUUGGCUCAUCAGACAAAAACACUACUUAUGGCCUGGAUCUGCCCUGAGUCUCAAGGAGAAUUCUCACAGCAACUCUAAGUUAUUUUCACAAGGCGAGCAGAAGUUCCUGCUAAUAAUUCCUGGCUCUCUCUUAAUAUUGUCUUCCCUCCUAAUUAAAGAGGAAAUAUGUUAAGC
rnacentral:lncRNA from 1 species